AGUGAACGCUGGCGGUAGGCCUAACACAUGCAAGUCGAACGGCAGCACAGUAAGAGCUUGCUCUUACGGGUGGCGAGUGGCGGACGGGUGAGGAAUACAUCGGAAUCUACUUUUUCGUGGGGGAUAACGUAGGGAAACUUACGCUAAUACCGCAUACGACCUACGGGUGAAAGCAGGGGAUCUUCGGACCUUGCGCGAUUGAAUGAGCCGAUGUCGGAUUCGCUAGUUGGCGGGGUAAAGGCCCACCAAGGCGACGAUCCGUAGCUGGUCUGAGAGGAUGAUCAGCCAAACUGGAACUGAGACACGGUCCAGACUCCUACGGGAGGCAGCAGUGGGGAAUAUUGGACAAUGGGCGCAAGCCUGAUCCAGCCAUACCGCGUGGGUGAAGAAGGCCUUCGGGUUGUAAAGCCCUUUUGUUGGGAAAGAAAAGCAGCAGGUUAAUACCCCGCUGUUCUGACGGUACCCAAAGAAUAAGCACCGGCUAACUUCGUG
rnacentral:rRNA from 1 species